UAGAGCUAAUACAAUAAUAAAUGCCGAACUUCUCGGGGAGGCAGUAUUUAUUAGAUACGGGCCAAUAACCUUCUGGUAUUGUGGCGAAUCAUAGUAACUUUGCGGAUCGGCUGGGCGUUAGCCCACGACAAACCAUUCAAGUUUCUGCCCCAUCAGCUUUCGAUGGUAGUGUAUUGGACUACCAUGGCUUUUACGGGUGACGGAGGAUUAGGGUUCGAUUCCGGAGAGGGAGCCUGAGAAACGGCUACCACAUCCAAGGAAGGCAGCAGGCGCGUAAAUUACCCAAUCCUGACUCAGGGAGGUAGUG
rnacentral:rRNA from 1 species